UGCGGGUAGGCUGAGAAACCUCCUGAACUCCUCAGCUAUUGGUCAUUUUAUGGUCACGCAACCCAGAGGUUUCCCGGUGCCGUCUGGGAUAUUGAAGUCCUGGGACUACACUCUCUAAGGCUGCUACAGUGUGUAUUAUGGCCAGUUUGCAUGAUAUGAGGGAAACUGGUGCUUUAAGAUACUACAAAGGACUUGCUUUGAAAUACUACAAAGGUUCUGGAGACCCGACUAGGCUGUUCAGAGCACUUGUUGGGUUCAAGUCCCAGCACCCACAUUGUGACUUACCGUAAGUUCCAGAGAAUCCAUGCCCUCCUCUGACCCCCACCAAGCGCCGACGUGGUGCACAAAUGUGCAGACAAAACAUUGACACCUAAAAAUACUGCAGGGCUGGACAGAAACGGAGGCUCUUGACUGUGGACUAGGAUGACGCGGAAUACCUCCUUCCCAGGCUCAAGUUCUCAGAAAUUCAUUGAAGCAGACGAUGAAUGCAAAACUUCGUACUUUCUAUGAAAAACCUAUGGGAUCAGAAGUAGCUGCUGAUGCUCGGGGUGAAGAGUCUUGGUUCGAAUUAGUGGUACACACCUGGUGCCCACAGAAAGCAGAUGAAGGCAAUGGAUUCCCUGGAACUGGAGUUAUGGAUGGUCGAGUCACCAUUUGACUGCAAGGGACAGGAUCUGGGUCUGACUCUCCAGCCCAAACUGCUCAGGCCCUGUAAUUCUACCAUGCACCUGCAAUCUUCUCCCAACCAGAUCCACCUUCUCCACCCACUUCCCUCCAGCUCCAGCAUUCAGACCUUACCCUCCUCUGCCCAGCCCAGUCAUGGAAACUCUGGCUAAGAACAAGAUACCUGUGAGGCCUUCCCACUUCCACAGAGGAUUCCGUGUGAGCACACUGGGCUGCAGAGGACUUGAGAAGGCCUUAGAUCCACUCCUACAGUAUCCAGAGUCUGCCUUCAAGGUUGCCUUCUGCCAACUGUAAAUAUAAACUGUUGGGGCCACUGAUGCUGGCUGGGAUGACUCCCAGGAGGUGGGAGGGGGAAGGGUGGGUACAGUGUAGAAAGAGAAUUACCUCUAGGCCUCCAUUCCAGCUCAGCCACAGCCAAGGUCAUCUUGGGCAGACCACAGCUGUCAGGUAGCACUACUGUGUCUUUUUAGUUUUUUGAGACAGGGUUUCUCUGUAGCUUUGGAGUCUGCCCUGGCACUAGCUCCUGUAGACCAGGCUGGCCUCGAACUCACAGAGAUCCACCGGCCUCUGCCUCCCGAGUGCUGGGAUUAAAGGCAUGUGCCACUACUGCUCAGCCCACUGUGUCUUCCUAUGGACAGUCUGGAGCCCUAACCCCUGUCUGCUAUGAUCUUGGGAUGGUCGAUGGGAACUGAAUUCAAAACCUUUAGAAGAGCAGCCAGUGCUCUUAACUGCUGAGCCAUCUCUCCAGCUCUAAAAGGUUUAUUUUUAUGUGUAUGAGUGUGUUGCCUGCGUGUAUGUAAGUGCAGCAUGUGCGUUUCUGGUACCUGGAGGUCAGAAGAGGGUAACAGAUCCCUAGAAACUGGAGUUAUGGAUGUUUGUGAACCACUCCUGGAAGGGCAGCCAGUGUUCUUAACCGA